AACGAACGCUGGCGGCAUGCCUAACACAUGCAAGUCGAACGAUUGCCUUCGGGUGAUAGUGGCGCACGGGUGCGUAACGCGUGGGAAUCUGCCCUUAGGUUCGGAAUAACAGCUGGAAACGGCUGCUAAUACCGGAUGAUAUCGCGAGAUCAAAGAUUUAUCGCCUGAGGAUGUGCGCGCGUUGGAUUAGGUAGUUGGUGGGGUAAAGGCCUGCCAAGCCGACGAUCCAUAGCUGGUCUGAGAGGGUGGUCAGCCACAAUAGGACUGAGACACGGCCCAGAAUCCUACGGGGGGCAACAGUGGGGAAUAUUAGACAGUCGGGUCAAGUCUAGUCCAACUAUGGCGCGGAGGGGAAGAAGGGCCUAGGGUUGUAAAGCUCUUUUACCCGGGAAGAUAAUGACUGUACCGGAAGAAUAAGCCCCGGCUAACUCCGUG
rnacentral:rRNA from 1 species